rnacentral:rRNA from 1 species
GACUGGGAUAACCCUGGGAAACUGGGGAUAAUACUAGAUAGGCAAUUUUUCCUGGAAUGGUUUUUUGUUUAAAUGUUUUUUCGCCUAAGGAUGGGUCUGCGGCCGAUUAGGUAGUUGGUUAGGUAACGGCUUACCAAGCCGUUGAUCGGUACGGGUUGUGAGAGCAAGAGCCCGGAGAUGGAACCUGAGACAAGGUUCCAGGCCCUACGGGGUGCAGCAGGCGCGAAACCUCCGCAAUGUGAGAAAUCGCGACGGGGGGAUCCCAAGUGCCAUUCUUAACGGGAUGGCUUUUCAUUAGUGUAAAGAGCUUUUGGAAUAAGGGCUGGGCAAGACCGGUGCCAGCCGCCGCGGUAACACCGGCAGCUCUAGUGGUAGCAGUUUUUAUUGGGCCUAAAGCGUCCGUAGCCGGUUUAAUAAGUCUCUGGUGAAAUCCUGUAGCUUAACUGUGGGAAUUGCUGGAGAUACUAUUAGACUUGAGACCGGGAGAGGUUAGAGGUACUCCCAGGGUAGAGGUGAAAUUCUGUAAUCCUGGGAGGACCGCCUGUUGCGAAGGCGCCUAACUGGAACGGUUCUGACGGUGAGGGACGAAAGUUAGGGGCGCGAACCGGAUUAGAUACCCGGGUAGUCCUAACUGUAAACGAUGCGGACUUGGUGUUGGGGUGGCUUUGAGCUGCUCCAGUGCCGAAGGGAAGCUGUUAAGUCCGCCGCCUGGGAAGUACGGUCGCAAGAC